rnacentral:tRNA from 2 species
AUGGAUGUAGCACAGUUGGUAGUGUUCUUGGUUUGGGACCAAGAGGUCGCAGGUUCGAGUCCUGUCAUCCAUA